rnacentral:tRNA from 1 species
GGGCCGGUAGAUUAGCCCGGUAGAUCGCUUGGUUCGCAUCCAAGAGGCCGCGAGUUCAAAUCUCGCCCGGUCCACCA